AUGACUGGACACUUUCCAUUGACACUGAGUUAAACUUUGGCACAAUGAGAAACACAAAGGCAGAGUUAAUGGAUGAAAUUGAGACACAUCUGAAGAAACUCUGCGCUGUUGAAAUUAGAAGGAUUCACAGCUUCUCAGUAAACGUGACUCUGGACGCUGUAACAGCGCGUCCGCACUUAGAGGUGUCCUGAAGACGGUAAAGAGGUGCGUGACACCAGAGCAAGUCACGACAUCCCGGGCGGGCCCGCAACAGUUCGACCUGGUCGGAGGAGUCUUGGGAAAACCUCACAUCACUUCGGG